rnacentral:rRNA from 1 species
GCUACGGGAGGCAGCAGUAGGGAAUCUUUCACAAUGGGCGAAAGCCUGAUGGAGCAACGCCGCGUGCAGGAAGACGGCUCUAUGAGUUGUAAACUGCUUUUGUACAAGGGUAAACCUGAAUACGUGUAUUCAGCUGAAAGUACUGUACGAAUAAGGAUCGGCGAACUCCGUGCCAGCAGCCGCGGUAAUCCGGAGGAUCCAAGCGUUAUCCGGAUUUAUUGGGUUUAAACGGUGCUUAGGCGGAUUGAUAAGUUAGAGGUGAAAUGUCCGGGCUUAACUCGGGAACUGCCUCUAAUACUGGUGAGCUAGAGAGUAGAUGCGGUAGGCGGAAUGUAUGGUGUAGCGGUGAAAUGCUUAGAGAUCAUACAGAACACCGAUUGCGAAGGCAGCUUACCAAUCUAUAUCUGACGUUGAGGCACGAAAGCGUGGGGAGCAAACAGGAUUAGAUACCCUAGUAGUC